AGGGAUAUCGCCAAGCGGUAAGGCACCGGGUUUUGAUCUCGGCAUUCUGAGGUUCAAAUCCUCAUAUCCCU
rnacentral:tRNA from 1 species